UACAGAGGUGGCGAGCGUUACUCGGAUUUAUUGGGUGUAAAGGGCAGGUAGGCGACUUGUUAAGUUAGAAGUGAAAUCCUAAGGCUCAACCUUAGAACUGCUUCUAAUACUGGCAGGAUUGAGUCUGGAAGAGGAGAGCGGAAUUCCCGGUGUAAGGGUGAAAUCUGUAGAUAUCGGGAGGAACACCAGUGGCGAAGGCGGCUCUCUGGUCCAGUUCUGACGCUAAGCUGCGAAAGCUCGGGGAGCAAACAGG
rnacentral:rRNA from 1 species